AGCAUAUCAAUAAGCGGAGGAAAAGAAACUAACAAGGAUUCCCCUAGUAACGGCGAGUGAAGCGGGAAGAGCUCAAAUUUAAAAUCUGGCAGUGUAUUCYGUCCGAGUUSUMGUCUAGAGCA
rnacentral:rRNA from 1 species